UACGUAGGUGGCAAGCGUUGUUCGGAAUUAUUGGGCGUAAAGGGCGCGUAGGCGGUUUGUUAAGUCGGUUGUGAAAGCCCGGGGCUCAACCCCGGAGAGUCGACCGAUACUGGCAGACUAGAGUACAGAAGAGGUAGCUGGAAUUCCUGGUGUAGCGGUGAAAUGCGUAGAUAUCAGGAGGAACACCUGAGGCGAAGGCGGGCUACUGGGCUGAUACUGACGCUGAUGCGCGAAAGCCAGGGGAGCGAAUGGG
rnacentral:rRNA from 1 species